AGUGAACGCUGGCGGUAGGCCUAACACAUGCAAGUCGAACGGCAGCACAGUAAGAGCUUGCUCUUACGGGUGGCGAGUGGCGGACGGGUGAGGAAUACAUCGGAAUCUACUUUUUCGUGGGGGAUAACGUAGGGAAACUUACGCUAAUACCGCAUAUGACCUACGGGUGAAAGCAGGGGAUCUUCGGACCUUGCGCGAUUGAAUGAGCCGAUGUCGGAUUAGCUAGUUGGCGGGGUAAAGGCCCACCAAGGCGACGAUCCGUAGCUGGUCUGAGAGGAUGAUCAGCCACACUGGAACUGAGACACGGUCCAGACUCCUACGGGAGGCAGCAGUGGGGAAUAUUGGACAAUGGGCGCAAGCCUGAUCCAGCCAUACCGCGUGGGUGAAGAAGGCCUUCGGGUUGUAAAGCCCUUUUGUUGGGAAAGAAAAGCAGCAGGUUAAUACCCCGCUGUUCUGACGGUACCCAAAGAAUAAGCACCGGCUAACUUCG
rnacentral:rRNA from 1 species